rnacentral:rRNA from 1 species
UCCCAACAGCUAGCCUAAACAGCCAAGAACAACAAACCCCUAUUUAUAACCCCGCAGAAACCACAGGACAUUGAACAAACCAUUUUUCCCCCUUAGUAUGGGCGACAGAAAAGGAAGAUAGAGCUAUAGAAGAAGUACCGCAAGGGAAAGCUGAAAGAGAAAUGAAACAACCUAGUAAAGACUAGAGAAGCAGAGAUAACACCUCGUACCUUUUCCAUUCAUG